rnacentral:rRNA from 1 species
GACGAACGCUGGCGGCGUGCUUAACACAUGCAAGUCGAGCGAGAAACCUUCGGGUUUCUAGCGGCGGACGGGUGAGUAACACGUGGGUAACCUGCCUCAAAGAGGGGAAUAGCCUCCCGAAAGGGAGAUUAAUACCGCAUAAGAUUAAAGCUUCACAUGGAGCUUUAAUUAAAGGAGUAAUCCGCUAUGAGAUGGACCCGCGUCGCAUUAGCUAGUUGGUGAGGUAACGGCUCACCAAGGCGACGAUGCGUAGCCGACCUGAGAGGGUGAUCGGCCACAUUGGAACUGAGACACGGUCCAGACUCCUACGGGAGGCAGCAGUGGGGAAUAUUGCACAAUGGGCGAAACCCUGAUGCAGCAACGCCGCGUGAGUGACGACGGUCUUCGGAUUGUAAAGCUCUGUCUUUUGGGACGAUAAUGACGGUACCUGAGGAGGAAGCCACGGCUAACUAC